GGCUGCCAGAGCGUGGCACAGAAGAACGCGUGAGGUGUCACAGGAUAAGUGGAGUUGGCCGAGCAGGAACUCCACAGCCGAUUGGCUGAGAUGGGGUCGACUUUUCAGCAUCUUAACCAAUGAGGAAAUGGCAAUGUUGGAGAGUACUAUGACCCCAUGAGCAGCCACUGCCAGGUUGCUGUGGUAACAGCAUUCUUGCGCCAGUUUAACCAGGUACUGAAGGAGGAGCUGUAACUGUAUGGACAAGGAAUCAAAUAGCAACAACUGUUAAACACUUGUCAAGACAAAAUACUACAACAAGUACAAAAACGAACCACCAAUGAUGAUGUAAAGCUCUGUCAUCGCCC